rnacentral:rRNA from 1 species
UACGUAGGGCGCAAGCGUUAUCCGGAAUUAUUGGGCGUAAAGAGCUCGUAGGCGGUUUGUCGCGUCUGCCGUGAAAGUCCGGGGCUCAACUCCGGAUCUGCGGUGGGUACGGGCAGACUAGAGUGAUGUAGGGGGAGACUGGAAUUCCUGGUGUAGCGGUGAAAUGCGCAGAUAUCAGGAGGAACACCGAUGCGAAGGCAGAUCUCUGGGCCGUAACUGACGCUGAGGAGCGAAAGCGUGGGGAGCGAACAGG